CAAUGUACUAUUAUGCAGCCAGAAAGCAGUAACAUCUCUCAGUCCCUUUCUAUCAAUCAUUAAUAACUAAAUGCGUUACCAAAAAACUGCAGUACCUUGCCUCAGCCACACACUGCUUCUCUGGACACCCCGCUCCGACCCCUAUCAGCAGGCUCACGUGUCGCACUCCUUGAUCCCCCUGCACCCCUCGGCUUUCUCAACAAGCCACAGGUCCUUCCCCAGCACUCCCCAGUGCCUCUCCAGGGUUCCAGUCAGUGGUGGAAGUGAAACAGGGAAGGAGCAGUGGAUUGAAAAAGAAAUGCAGACGCAGUAAGAUCCACACACAGACCCUGCAGCCUCCGCUUAUGUGCUCACACAGUCCUGCCCCAGGUGAGCUAUGACAUAAGAGAGCAGAAAUGCAAGACCCUUGAGAGCCAGCCAGAACUCUCCUCCUGUCAACUGAGAUUGUUUUCCCACUGGUCCACAAUGAGAAGUUGAAAAGGAGAUAGGCAGAAGUCAGCUCAGCACCCGUGCCAGGAGCAAUGGCCUACUCCCCUUCUCUGUCUCAACCUGAUCUGUCCCUGCGGAGUCGGGCGCUGAUCUGUGAUGCAGCAAACCCAGAGGCCGGCCGCCCGCCCAGAGAAGGCGUACCUCAGCACAGCGGUACAAACCGUCGGCGUGCAGAACACCGCCAUGCUCCACGCUAAAGGCAACACCUCAUCAAUCACACGACAAACAACAACGGAAAACUUGAGACACAAAAUACAAUACUCCUGAAGUGAUGAAACCAGUAAAGAAUUCUAUGCUUUUGAAAUCAAAACGAUGACUCGGACUAUGCCUACCCCGUUAUCCACAGUCUCUGAAAGCAGCACCUGAAGCCCCUGCAGCUCUGGAGUCUGCAGAAUGAGAUCUGCUUCUCUCGGGAACCCUGGAGGCCUCUAGUGAAAGAACCUUUCCUUGGUGAACAUC